AGGAAGCCAUGCGUGGAAAAGUGUUAUGAACCAAAGAUGAUGAUUACACAAAUUCUGUGCACAUGAGGUCCUGA
rnacentral:snoRNA from 1 species